rnacentral:rRNA from 1 species
CUCUGGCGGAACUGCCCGGGUGGACAAACCGGAGGAAGGUGGGGAUGACGUCAAGUCAUCAUGGCCCCUAUGUCCAGGGCUACACACGUGCUACAAUGGGCGAUACAGAGUGACGCGAAGCCGCGAGGUGGAGCAAAUCGCAGAAAAUCGCUCUCAGUUCGGAUUGGAGUCUGAAACCCGACUCCAUGAAGGUGGAAUCGCUAGUAAUCGCGCAUCAGCAUGGCGCGGUGAAUACGUUCCCGGGCCUU